rnacentral:rRNA from 1 species
AUUGAACGCUGGCGGCAGGCCUAACACAUGCAAGUCGAGCGGAUGAAGAGAGCUUGCUCUCUGAUUUAGCGGCGGACGGGUGAGUAAUGCCUAGGAAUCUGCCUGGUAGUGGGGGAUAACGUCCGGAAACGGGCGCUAAUACCGCAUACGUCCUACGGGAGAAAGCCGGGGACCUUCGGGCCUUGCGCUAUCAGAUGAGCCUAGGUCGGAUUAGCUAGUUGGUGAGGUAAUGGAUCACCAAGGCUACGAUCCGUAACUGGUCUGAGAGGAUGAUCAGUCACACUGGAACUGAGACACGGUCCAGACUCCUACGGGAGGCAGCAGUGGGGAAUAUUGGACAAUGGGCGAAAGCCUGAUCCAGCCAUGCCGCGUGUGUGAAGAAGGUCUUCGGAUUGUAAAGCACUUUAAGUUGGGAGGAAGGGCAGUAAGUUAAUACCUUGCUGUUUUGACGUUACCGACAGAAUAAGCACCGGCUAACUUCGUGCCAGCAGCCGCCGUAACAC